rnacentral:rRNA from 1 species
UUUCCCAGUCACGAUAACAAGACAAACUUCUAAGGCUAGGUAAAAACAGACCGUACCGUAAACCGACACAGGUAGUCAGGUCGAGUAGACCAAGGCGAACGAGUGAGAGGUCCCCAAGGAACUCGGCAAAAAAGCGGCCGUACCUUCGGUAUAAGGCCUGCCCCUAGCAAUAGGGGCCGCAGCUAAAGUAUCCCUGGCGACUGUUUAUCAAAAACACAGCUCCCUGCGAACUCGUAAGAGGAUGUAUAGGGGGUGACACCUGACCAAUGCCAGAAGGUCAAAUACGGCCGUUCUAUUGUCGCAAGAUGAUAGGGUGAGCUGUAUAAGCCCUGGUGAAUGUCGGCCGUAACUAUAACGGUCCUAAGGUAGCGAAAUUCCUUGUCGGGUAAGUUCCGACGUGCACGAAUGGUAUAAUGACUGGAGAACUGUCUCGGGGAUUUGCUCGGUGAAAAUACAAUACCGGUGAAGAUGCCGGUUACCUGCAGUUAGACGAAAAGACCCUAGAAGCUUUACUGCAACUUGAUAUUGAGGAUAUGUCGCACAUGCGUAGCGUAGAUGGGAGGAUUUGAAGUCGUACUUUCGGGUACGAUGGAUCCGACAGUGAAAUACCAUUCUUGUUUGAUAUAUUUUCUAACCUCGGCGAAAAAAACGACGGGAGACAGUAUCUGGCGGGCAGUUUUAGUGGGGCGCUAUCCUCCUAAAAAGUAACGGAGGAGUUUAUUAAGGUCAGCUAGGCGCGAAUGGAAACCGUGCCGAUAGUGUAAUGGCACAAGCUGGCUUAACUGUGAGGCGUACUUGCCAAGCAGAUGCGAAAGCAGAACAUAGUGAACCGACGGUCCGUGUUAGAGGCGGCCGGAGAUUAUCGGAUAAAAGCUACCCUGGGGAUAACAGGCUGGUUGCACCUAAGCGUCCAUAGCGACGGUGCAGUUCGGCACCUCGAUGUCGGCUCAUCUUAGCGCGGGGGUGAAGAAGCUCCCAAGGGUUUGGCUGUUCGCCAAUUAAAGUGGUACGCGAGCUGGGUUCAGACCGUCGUGAGACAGGUUGGUCUCCUAUCUACUGCAGGCGUCGAUUCUUGAAGAGAUUUGCUCCUAGUACGAGAGGACCGGAGUGAACUGACCUCUGGUGUAUGGGCUCUAGCGCCAGCUGGACCGCCCAGUAGCUAUGUCGGGAAUGGAUAACUUCUGAAAGCAUCUAAGAAGGAAGCCAACUUCAAGAUAAGUAUUCGUUGAAGGGUCGUAAAAGAUGAUUACGUUGAUAGGAGCUAGAUGUAAGUACAGUAAUGUAUUCAGUCAAGGCUUACUAAUUACCCGAAUCCUGUCAAG